rnacentral:rRNA from 1 species
UUUAAUGAGAGUUUGAUCCUGGCUCAGGACGAACGCUGGCGGCGUGCCUAAUACAUGCAAGUAGAACGCUGAUGUUUGGUGUUUACACUAGACUGAUGAGUUGCGAACGGGUGAGUAACGCGUAGGUAACCUGCCUCAUAGCGGGGGAUAACUAUUGGAAACGAUAGCUAAUACCGCAUAAGAGUGAUUAACACAUGUUAGUUAUUUAAAAGGAGCAAUUGCUUCACUGUGAGAUGGA